UACGUAGGGUGCAGGCGUUAAUCGGAAUUACUGGGCGUAAAGCGUGCGCAGGCGGUUUUGUAAGUCUGUCGUGAAAGCCCCGGGCUUAACCUGGGAAUUGCGAUGGAGACUGCAAGGCUUGAAUCUGGCAGAGGGGGGUAGAAUUCCACGUGUAGCAGUGAAAUGCGUAGAGAUGUGGAGGAACACCGAUGACGAAGGCAGCCCCCUGGGUCAAGAUUGACGCUCAUGCACGAAAGCGUGGGGAGCAAACAGG
rnacentral:rRNA from 1 species